rnacentral:rRNA from 1 species
CCUACGGGUGGCUGCAGUGAGGAAUAUUGGGCAAUGGGCGCAAGCCUGACCCAGCAACGCCGCGUGAAGGAAGAAGGCUUUCGGGUUGUAAACUUCUUUUCUCAGGGACGAAGCAAGUGACGGUACCUGAUGAAUAAGCCACGGCUAACUACGUGCCAGCAGCCGCGGUAAUACGUAGGUGGCAAGCGUUAUCCGGAUUUACUGGGUGUAAAGGGCGUGUAGGCGGGAGGGCAAGUCAGAUGUGAAAACGAUGGGCUCAACCCAUAGCCUGCUUUUGAAACUGUACUUCUUGAGUGCUGGAGAGGCAGGCGGAAUUCCUGGUGUAGCGGUGAAAUGCGUAGAUAUUAGGAGGAACACCAGUGGCGAAGGCGGACUGCUGGACAGUAACUGACGCUGAGGCGCGAAAGCGUGGGGAGCAAACAGGAUUAGAUACCCUAGUAGUC